CGCUAGGGGAGCCUCACGGCUGAGAAAGGCAUCUGCCUGACCCUCACUACUUGAUCCGGUUCAUACCGGCGUAAGGAAGCUUAUAUAC
rnacentral:ncRNA from 1 species